rnacentral:lncRNA from 1 species
CCACACGUGUAUUUAAUGAUAAUAGGAAGGCCUCAGGAGUUCACAUUUGUUAACUGCAUUUUUGUUAGCCUUAUCCGUAAAAGAAGUACGAGUAUCCUUGUUCGUACCAUAAGAUUCAUGAUUUGGUUUUCACAUAAAGAUAGAGGUUGAAUAUCCCGACUAGACUACUUAGGUGCCUUAUAAUUAGACCUUGGUUGACCUAUAGUCAUGAUGCAGUCACAUAUAUAAUAAAAAUAUCUAUAUAUUUCAGUCUACCUUCUCUUUUCUUGCAUGAAUUAAAAAAAAAAAUCCUUAUGAUGACAAGUCUGGCCUCGUGGCAUAGUCUGGUUCGAGUAAUUAAGUUCGAGGGGUGUUUCACCUAAUGUCUUGAGCCAACUGGAUCGGGGGUCAUUGG